GAUGAACGCUGGCGGCGUGCCUAAUACAUGCAAGUCGAGCGAACGGACGAUAAGGUUGCUUCUCUGAUGUUAACGGCGUAAGGGUGAGUAACACGUGGAUAACCUACCUAUAAGACUGGGAUAAUUUUGGGAAACCUGAUCUAAUUCCGGAUAAUAUUUUGAACCGCAUGGUUCAAAAGUGAAAGACGGUCUUGCUUUCACUUAUAGAUUGAUCCGCGCUGCAGUAGCUAAUUGGUAAGGUAACGGCUUACCAAGGCAACGAUGCAUAGCCGACCUGAGAGGGUGAUCGGCCACACUGGAACUGAGACCCGCUACAGACUCCUACGGGGAGCAGCCGUAGGGCAACUUCCGGAAUGGGCGAAAGCCUGACGGAGCAACGCCGAGUGAGUGAUGCAGGUAUUCGGAGCGUAAAACUCUGUUAUUAGGGAAGAAAAUAUGUGUAAGUAACUGUGCACAUAUUGACGGUACCUACACAGAAAGCCACGGCUAAAUACGUG
rnacentral:rRNA from 1 species